rnacentral:rRNA from 1 species
UACGUAGGGUGCAAGCGUUGUCCGGAAUUAUUGGGCGUAAAGAGCUUGUAGGCGGUUUGUCGCGUCGGCUGUGAAAACCCGGGGCUCAACCCCGGGCCUGCAGUCGAUACGGGCAGACUAGAGUGCGGUAGGGGAGACUGGAAUUCCUGGUGUAGCGGUGAAAUGCGCAGAUAUCAGGAGGAACACCGGUGGCGAAGGCGGGUCUCUGGGCCUGUCCUGACGCUGAGGCGCGAAAGCUAGGGGAGCGAACAGG